GCAGUCCCCAAGAAGGUGUGGUCCCGCCCGUGAUCCUCUCCAGUCUCUUCCGCGAGGCCAUCUGCCAGGCGUUAGGGCUGUGUGAAUCUCUCUCUGGGAGACAACAGCCCCCUCUGGCUGGCACCAGCGUCUCUUUAGAAUAUCCUCAUUCCUGCCAGGACCAUGCGCCAAAGCUCUCCAUCCGCAGCAGGCGGUCAGUGUUGCCUGGCGGAGGCUCGCCUCGGCCGCAGAGCUCAGGAGCUCGUUAGCAGGCUGGCCUGCAACAGAAAGCUUGCUGGCCGCAGCGAUUUGUGAAUUCAUCCAGCAGUCAGCCGGGCUAGGCACGAUGGAGGUACGCCAAGAGAUGGAAGCGACAAGAUGAGCGGCGCACUCAUCAGCUCACUGGUGGCGAUGACAAUAACAAAGGUUACCCUGCCCUGAGGGAUGAUGUCCCUCCUAAAACUCAUGUGGAAUUUAAUCCCAGCCUUUGAGAGGUGAUGGAGUCAUCCGAGUGCCACUAUGGGGAAUUAGAUACCAUAGAGAAGGCCUGGAGGAUCUGAGUGAGACGUUCUUCCCUCCUUUCUACCGUCCCAUUGGGAAGCAGCAGGAAGGCUUCACAACCACCUGUCACUCUGGCUCCAAAGGACUCAGUGAUCUUUUUCUGGCCUCUGGGAUUACUUGUACACGCAUACAAUUUUUUAAAAUAAAUCUUUAAAACAAAAGAAAUUAUUUCUCUCUGAAAGUGCACUGAGAAUUGACCUCAGGUGCAGUGGAGCACAGACUAACUCUCAUCUCCCGGACAAACCACACGGAAUGAGCAAGGGUUCGAAGAGCAUGAAUGACCAACAACCACCGACUAACCACAGGGGAGUGUGUACACCUACAGCGGGUGUCCGCAAAGCAGGACACACCAACACCAGGCUCCAGAUUCCAGCCUGGACUACGUCAUCAUGAGACAGGCCUAUGCUAUGCAGCCCCUGCCCCCAGGAACAUCUGGCUCAUGAGACCAGCUACAGGUGUGGAUAGGGCUCAUUGUCAACCGAUGGGUUCCCAGUACUGUCCUCCAGUUGCUAGCCUGCACGGCUUCCCAGGACAAGAUUUGGAGUCUCUGAACUAGAAUGGAAAAUAUUUCCAGAUCUGAGUGGCUGCAGGGCCAGACUCGGCAUCUAUGAAUCCUUCGUUCUGUGACCUUAGCCGCAUCCGCUAAGCUGCUGCCAGGCUAGACUGCAGAAACGAACUCAAAGCAAAGACGUUGAAAAAAAAAAGAAAAAAAAAUCAAGAGGUCUGAAAUUUGCCCCAUCAAGUCUUUUGAAACCAAACUGCCCACAUUUUUAAGGGUUUGACGUCAUAACAUUCCCAAGUAAGAUUACAUUUUGAAAAACAAUGAUUGUUGCUGUGCGUGUGUGUGUGUGUAUGUGUGUGUGUGAGUGCAUGGCAUGUGUGUGUGUGUGUGUGUGUGUGUGUGCGCGUGCGCGUGUGUGUGUGUGUGUGUGUGUGUAUGUGUGUGUACACAUGUGUGUGUGAGUGCAUGGUGUGUGUGUGAGUGCAUGGUGUGUGUGUGUGUGUGUGUGUGUGUGUCUGUGUAUGUGAGUGCAUGGUGUGUGUGUGUGUACACGUGUGUGUGAAUGCAUGGUGUGUGUGUGAGUGCAUGGUGUGUGUGUGUUGUGCAUCUUGUGUGUGCGUGUGUGUAUGUGUGUGUAUGAGUGCGUGCUGGGUGUAUGUGUGUGAGUGAGUGCAUGGUGUGUGUGUGUGUGUGUGUCUGUGUGUAUAUGAGUGCAUGGUGUGUGUGUGUGUGUGAGUGAGUGAGUGCAUGGUGUGUGUGUGUGUGUGUGUGUGUGUGAGUGUGUGUGUGUGUGUCUGUGUGUCUGUGUGUCUGUGUCUGUGUAUGUGAGUGCAUGGUGUGUGUGUGUGUGUGUGUGUGUGUGUGUGAGUGUGUGUGUGUGUGUCUGUGUGUCUGUGUAUGUGAGUGCAUGGUGUGUGUGUGUGUGUCUGUGUGUGUGUGUGUAUGUCAGUGCAUGGUGUGUGUGUGUGUGUGUGUGUGUGUGUGUGAACGUGAGAGGUUUAGCAUAGUCCUUAGGAAAUCAACUCUGAGACUGGAAAUCUGAGAUGUGUGGACAGAAC
ensembl:lncRNA